UUCAGGAAAAACAUAAUGUCUCUUAUCCAUCUACCAAAUGUGGGUGGUGUUUGUUCCUUCCACAGGAGUAAUAUCGGACGUCUAGCAAGCAAAGAGGUGAAUGCUAUAACAGCAUAAGCCUUGCCUUUAAAAGAUUUAGUUUCUCGUGUAAAGCCAAAUAUGGCACAUAUUGGGUUUGGAGGGAUAUCUAUAGCAAAUAUUUUGGAGUAGGCCUGAAAUAUGUCUGCCCAAAAUGUCUUGAAGUAAGGGCAAGACCAGAACAUAUGUAUGUGGUCAGCUGGCUGACUUUUACAGCGGGGACAAGCAGGAUCAGUGCUAGGGACAAUCUUGGCCAGUUUAGCCCUGGUCCAGUGUACUCUAAGGAGGACUUUAAGUUGAAUUAGGCUGAGUCUGGCACAAGGAGAGGAGGUGUGUACUAGGCCAAGUGCUGCAUCCCAUUGAUCCUCUCUCAUUGCUUCCCCAAAGUCAUCCUCCCAGAGCUGUCUUAUUCCUUGCAGCGAAAGGGGAGAAAUGUUGCAGAUAUCGUUAUAAAGAAUUGAAAUUAAGCCUUUCCGAUGCG